rnacentral:rRNA from 1 species
GAUGAACGCUGGCGGCGUGCCUAAUACAUGCAAGUCGAGCGAACGGACGAGAAGCUUGCUUCUCUGAUGUUAGCGGCGGACGGGUGAGUAACACGUGGAUAACCUACCUAUAAGACUGGGAUAACUUCGGGAAACCGGAGCUAAUACCGGAUAAUAUUUGAACCGCAUGGUUCAAAAGUUAAAGACGGUCUUGCUGUCACUUAUAGAUGGAUCCGCGCUGCAUUAGCUAGUUGGUAAGGUAACGGCUUACCAAGGCAACGAUGCAUAGCCGACCUGAGAGGGUGAUCGGCCACACUGGAACUGAGACACGGUACAGACUCCUACGGGAGGCAGCAGUAGGGAAUCUUCCGCAAUGGGCGAAAGCCUGACGGAGCAACGCCGCGUGAGUGAUGAAGGUCUUCGGAUCGUAAAACUCUGUUAUUAGGGAAGAACAUAUGUGUAAGUAACUGUGCACAUCUUGACGGUACCUAAUCAGAAAGCCACGGCUAACUACGUG